CCUACAACAUACUGUCAAUAUAAACAAAGCACUGAAAGCAGUUCAAAAGUGUCAAUUCAGGUUUAUUGCAGGUUUAGUGCCGUUUCUCACAGUCACAGUGUGUCAGGUAGAGAUUUGAUGAAAGAUUCUCUGACCAGGCAUCGAGCCAGAACCAAAGCCGAUAAAAGAAAAAAUGAUGCUUUAUAACAGGAACCUAAACGUUCAGGUAACUUCUUGACCGUAAUUUUGGCAGAGGCAGAGGCCGAGUUACCCAGUCUGAUGAAGUUGUAGCAGUUUCUAAUCAAGAAACUGCUAGUGAAAUAACUCCCAGUCUAAUGAAAGAAGUGGUGUACAGGAUAUCAUUCAUUCAGUCGAACUGGAAAAGACAUCAUUGAAGCAAGCAUUUCACAAUUUAACAAGUAGAAAAAGGAAGCAAUCAAGAAAGCGAGUGGAAAACUCGCAUGAAAGACAAAGAAGAUGCUUGGGAUUCCAAGAGAGAUGCUGUCUUUCAAAACUACAUUAGCUCCCGUUCCUACAGUGCAAGUAAAUGUGGUGUAUGUGAAAAAGUCACUAAUCCUGUACAUCACUGUUGAAGUGUCCCUUCCUGUCCAGAAUGCAAAAGCCCUCAUUCGUGUACUACGAAACCUGGUUCAAGAGACGUAACCGUAGUUACAGCCAAUGGUAAAUGAGGGCAACUUCACGGAGGACAACCGAUUACCAGGAUUACAUCGACGAAGACACAGCCAAUUAUCAAGACUACGCUGAUGAAGAAAAUGAAGAAAAAAACUGUUAUCCAUCGUUUAAAACGCUCACAUAUAUUGUCAUGCAAAUCUUGUAAUCACAUUUGAAAUACAGCUAUUGUUUGAAGGGAAUAAAAGUAUAAUAAUGA